CACACCUCCUGGAGUGAGCCAUAGAGAUGGUGUCUGCUGGUGUCAGCGCAGUGUCUGCUCCCAGUUGUGCUUCCACAUGAUUGCCAGGGGAAUCACCUACUGCUGCUGCAGUUGUACCGUAACUGGCUAGACCUCCUGUGUGCAGAAAAUGGCAUCCAGGUGUUGGGAAAAGGCCCGUGCUGAAUUUAUGUUUGCGUCACACUCGGCACAGUAAUGAGGCAGAAAUGAUUUCCAUGAAAACUUGGCUGCCCCUGCCAAACCUCAGGGCCAGGGAUGGGUAAAAGCUGGACUCCAGGUGUGAGUGUGAACCGGAAGGGAUUCCUUGUGUGGGAUUUGUUUAAGUCUUUUGUGGUUUCGUCUGCAUUUCUUGUUGCAAUGCAGAAAAUCUGGUUACGGUUUCCUGUUGUCUUAGGGGACAGCAGGCUCCUCGCUGCCACUUGUCAGAAUGCCCAGGCCAUGGUACCGUGCUCCUGGUAAGGGACAGUGACUUCUGUUGAAAGUGUCCCGUUUUCUCUGAAGAGACAGAUUCUGAGAGUGUGCCGGAUACCUUUCCCAUGGAAGAACCAAUCAGCCUGCCAGUGUCAGACGAAGAACCAGAACAAAUACAGGACACCAGUACACUUGCUGAACCUGAGCAAUAUUCAGCUCCUGGGCAAAAAGGCAAGACUGCUGGACGCGGUGAUCCGAGCAAGUACUACAUCCUAGGGAUCAUAGCAGCCGCAGCUUUGCUUCUGCUUGGGGCACUGGCUGGGUGUAUAGUCAUGUAUGUGCUGCUGAAGAGACACAUGUGAGUUAUUUACUGCUGCCAUUAGCAAUGAAGUGUUUGCACCGUGCUGGAGUGCCAAGGCAGCUCCUGGCAGUGCUCUGCAGAAACCUCUGCAGUGCAAUCCCCUUUAACCGUGCUCUAAAUUCCUGUCUAUGAGGAGCCUUUUUGGAAAUCUGUUUCUACAGGAGGACCCAGGAGGACAGAGAAGCACCAAGACAAUUAUCCACUGACUCUUCCUGGGCAUGCCAUGAUCAG
ensembl:lncRNA